AACAGUUGGGGAGCUACGUGCAAGCUGGACCGGAAGAGCUCAAAGUUGGAAACUGUUUGGCUUAGCUAAACCGUAUUGUAAACUGUAGAAACAUUUUCCUGGCACGCCGGAUUAAUAAGUCCUUUGGAACAAGGCAUCAUGGAGGGUGAGAAUCCCGUCUUUGAUCCGAGUAGUUGUCUUUUGUGAUAUGUUUUCAAAGAGUCAGGUUGUUUGGGAAUGCAGCCUAAAUUGGGUGGUAAAUCUCACCUAAAGCUAAAUAUUUGCGAGAGACCGAUAGCGAACAAGUACCGUGAGGGAAAGAUGAAAAGAACUUUGAAAAGAGAGUUAAACAGUAUGUGAAAUUGUUAAAAGGGAACCGUUUGGAGCCAGACUGGUUUGACUGUAAUCAACCUAGAAUUCGUUCUGGGUGCACUUGCAGUCUAUACCUGCCAACAACAGUUUGAUUUGGAGGAAAAAAUUAGUAGGAAUGUAGCCUCUCGAGGUGUUAUAGCCUACUAUCAUACUCUGGAUUGGACUGAGGAACGCAGCGAAUGCCAUUAGGCGAGAUUGCUGGGUGCUUUCGCUAAUAAAUGUUAGAAUUUCUGCUUCGGGUGGUGCUAAUGUUUAAAGGAGGAACACAUCUAGUAUAUUUUUUAUUCGCUUAGGUUGUUGGCUUAAUGACUCUAAAUGACCCGUCUUGAAAACACGGACCAAAA
rnacentral:rRNA from 2 species